UCCCGUAGGGUGAACCUGCGGAAGGAUCAUUUCCACUAAACACUAAUUCAAAUGUAAACUUGCCAAGGCGAAAGCCCAGGCGCCCAUCUAACACAACUAAAUAUAAAAACUCCCAAAGAUGGAUAUCUAGGCUCUUGUAUCUAUGAAGGAUGCUGCAAAAUGCAUAACGUAAUGUGACAUGCGGAAACUGUGAGUCAUCCAAUAUCCUAACGCAUAUUGCGCCACCUAGUGGCAUCUUUGUAUGAGUGUGGUUUCAUUUUAUAUGGUUCGGAGACGAAAUUGCUCUGAUCAAGAUAGACUGCAUUGAAAUAUUCUUCACCUCAUAUCAAGGAAGAGCACCCCCUGGAUUUAAGCAUAUAACUAAGGGGAGGAAAAGAAACUAACAAGGAUUGGCUUGGUAACGGCGAGUGACCGGCCAUCUGCUCGCAUUGAAAAUCUAACGAAUUGUAGACUUAACCCUAGCAAGCUAGCAAAGACUUUGGAAAAAGUCACCAACGUCGGAGAUAGUCCGGGCUUGUUUUGCGCACAGGGUUUGUAAUGAGUAGACAUGCUUGGGAAUGCAUGUCGAAAUCGUAGGUAAACUACUUCGAAAGCUAAAUAUUGACAAGAGACCGAUAGAAAACAAGUACCGUGAGGGAAAGAUGAAAAGCACUUUGGAAAGAGAGUGAAACAGUCCUUGAAAUCUUUGUGAGGGAAGUGUUGGCAAUCCUGAUUGCUUCUAUUGCGGUAGAAGCGUUGUGUUCAUUGAGCGAGGUACUGCAUAAACUGUGUGUUUGGCAGCUCCGCGAAAUCACUCUUCUAGUAGUGCCUCUCAAUGUGAACAAGGGUUCUCAAC
rnacentral:rRNA from 1 species